GUUCACUGCCGAAUAGGCAGUUCAGAAA
rnacentral:other from 1 species